CCCCACAUACUGACAAGGACACGACCAGGGGUCUGAGUGGAAGAGUGUCUGUGGCCUCGGGAACCUUGGUGAGCGCGGCAGCAAUGGGUCGACGCAAGGGUUUCCCAUUAAUCCUUCCGGCUUCCUCAAGCCGAGCGCACUAAGGUUCCGUCUAAGCGUCGGUCCGGCCCAGGGUGUGUUCCGGCGCUCGCCCCGAGGCGGCCGGAAUCCCAGCAUGUGAAUUGGACAUAUCACCCAGUUGGAGAAAGAACAACUGUAGACACUGGAUCUUCAGGGAACUGAAGAGGGGAGUGACCAAAAAUAUCUGUCUAGUCUUUCAUUUCAUCCCUAAAGGGUCUGUAACUCCACAUAAUGGAAAACUAGGAUCACAAUCAAAUAAGUAAGAAGAUAUUUCUUCUGCCAUCACAGACAAUUAUCAUCUAUUUUAUUAUAACUCUAUUGUGUGUCAAAAAUGACUCAAGACAGCUUACAAGAUAUGAUAAAAUACAAAACUGAAAAAAAAUACAAAUCGGUAUUAAAGAAGAAAAUGCCUAGAAGAUCAAGAUCAUGACAAAUUAUGGUAUGCCAGAUAGUUAUUCAGGUAUGAAAGUGAGAUGGUCAUUUGCUUACAUUGUAUUUGGAAGAGGAGAAAAUGUCCAUUCUUCAAGGAAAGCCUAAGAGUUAAGAUGAAUUUCUCCACCGGCCUUCAUGUAAUUAUACAAUGUGCUUGAUAACAAAAAAUUAAAUUAUGUGUUCUCUACAACACCUAGCAUAUAGUAUGUUUUCCAGUGAAUAAAUAUUUAGUUCAUAGUAGAAGUCUAAGAAAGGCAAAUAUAAAGAUUCUUCUUGGGGUGGAGUGGGGUUAGAAGGAGCAGAGGGUAGAGAUAAUCAAGUAAUUACUGGGUGCCAGAAGAAAAGCUCUUUUCACACAUUUGAGUCUCUUAAUUUACCACAGUAUGGGAUGAAGAAACUGAAAUUUACAGAUGUUAAAUAGUUUACCCAAGGAUCAGGAUUUGACCCCACUACUGAAUCUCUUAAUCUGGGCCCUGGCAAGAUCUGGGAAAGAAAGAACUGUGUAAGUAAAGGUAUAGAGGAGGGAAAAUGCUGUUUGUUCCAAUAGAUGAACUGGACUGUCUAUGGCAGGGAGUUCAGUGAAAUAAAAAUGAGAACGUUUACUUGGAAUUGGAUAACUAGACAGUGGCUGCCCUGAGUACUAGCUUGUGUGUGGAUUUAAUCAUUUAGGCAAUGAGGGAAUUACAGGAGGUUUUUGAUCAUGGUAAUAAAAAUUUGGUUUCGGAGAGAAGAUUAAUUUGGUAGAGGAGACAAGGUGGUUUGGAAAUGAGAGAGACAGCACACAGAAACUAGGUGAGAAGCUGAAGUGUUAGAAUAGUGGUAUUGUGGAACAGAGCAGUGGUCAGAUGAAGAGGCAGUAUAAAGUAAGGAUCCUAUGAAACUGGUGACUAGAUACAGGCAAGGAAGAAGAGAGACCAGCACUUCCUUAACUGCUGUUGUUAAAUUUCCUGUAAGCUACCUAGGGUGUGGAGGGAGGAAUUUCUGAUACACAUUCAGCAGUUAGCCAUGAAUACAAAUCAUUAAAAAAGCUGAACGCCUGAUAUGAUUAACUUGCAUCUUUAAAGUUGAUUUGGAACCAAAAACUUUGGGGAUUUCUGGUGGGGAAAUCGGGUCAGAAGAUAAGAGUGAUCUGGAGAGGGGAGCUUUAUUCUAAGGAGAAACAGAGGGUUUUCCAAUGCAGCCAAAAGCACUGUGACUCGGCUCACACUGAACAAUGUCUUCAAAAUAAUCUCCGUCCUUGCACGGAGCCCACAUCUAGGCGUUCAGCGUGGGUCCUCUUCUGAGAGCCCUGCAGGUGGCUCCCGCGGAGGCCAGCUGCCGUCCCUGUCCUCGCUCGUCCGGACGCCUAGGCCAUUGCUCGGGAACCCGGGUAGGGAAGGAGGCGCGUGAGUGCGAAGACCACCGCGGGGGUAAGAGCCUCAGAGCUCUGCGCUUUGGCUGUGCUCCCGGACUUUCAUGGUGACCGUUGUGUGCUCCAGUUCCCUCCAUCAAGGCUGCGAUGGCCACUCCUAGAACCACCGGAUGGGGUCCAGCGACCACCCCAGACUCCAUCUUCCUGCUUUCCCGGGGGCGCUCUGAAGCAAGAUCGGCCAAAGAGCUGAACCUACAUCUGAGAACUACAAUUCCCAGAAACCUCGUAGACUCGCAGUCGUCACAGCGCCCAGACUCCAUUUCCCAGAAGUCUAAGGACCAAGUUCCAUCCUCACUGAAAACCUUAUGUGACGUCAUUGACCUUCUGCUGAAGAUUCUAAAGGCUGUCGGGGUGGGCGGUGCCACGCAACUUGAUGUGGCGAUACCAGUGAGCCUCGUUUCUGGAUGGUAUCCUAACCUGAAUCUCUGUCACUACUUUUUCUAAAAAAUUGAUAAAUCAGAGUGAAGCUUGCCCCCUUUUCCGUUAGAUUUUAUUCAUUUAACAUGUGCCUACUAUGUAUUAAUCCACUUUUCUGAUUUGUGGACUGUGAGAUUGAAGAUGAGUCACUUUCUUCGCUAAAUAUUAAUUCAGCUCCGUUAAAGAGGCCACGAUCCUUCCUCAACAUUCUCCCUGCCACCCAACCCCUCACCCUGACACACACACACACACACACACACACACACACACGCACGCACGCACACACCCUGAAAAGCAUAAAGGGAUGAAAAGCAAAAAAUAAACACUGGUCCCAUCACUCAUAUAAUCCCUGGACAUAUUAGUAAAUGUUCUUUCAGACUUUUUUUUUCUUCUUAUAUCUGUGUAUCUGCAUAUGCUAAUAAAAAGUUAUAGUUUAUACGUAACAAAGGAUUUACUGUAUACAUUCAUCUUGAA